rnacentral:ribozyme from 1 species
GAGAGAAGGACGCAAUCAUGAUAUGUGAAAGCAUGGGAGCUUUUGUUUCUAAAUUCUUUUUUUGCUGUUGUAAUUGUUUUUCUUUUGUAUAUUCAUUUCUCAGAGUGUGUCUGUUUAUUUUU